AUUGAACGCUGGCGGCAUGCUUUACACAUGCAAGUCGAACGGCAGCGGGGGCUUCGGCCUGCCGGCGAGUGGCGAACGGGUGAGUAAUGCAUCGGAACGUGCCCAUGUCGUGGGGGAUAACGUAUCGAAAGGUACGCUAAUACCGUAUACGUCCUGAGGGAGAAAGCGGGGGAUCUUCGGACCUCGCGCGAUUGGAGCGGCCGAUGUCGGAUUAGCUAGUUGGUGAGGUAAAGGCUCACCAAGGCGACGAUCCGUAGCGGGUCUGAGAGGAUGAUCCGCCACACUGGGACUGAGACACGGCCCAGACUCCUACGGGAGGCAGCAGUGGGGAAUUUUGGACAAUGGGCGCAAGCCUGAUCCAGCCAUGCCGCGUGAGUGAAGAAGGCCUUCGGGUUGUAAAGCUCUUUCGGCCGGGAAGAAAUCGUGUUCUCUAACAUAGGGCAUGGAUGACGGUACCGGACUAAGAAGCACCGGCUAACUACGUGCCAGCCGCCGCCGUAAAAC
rnacentral:rRNA from 1 species